CCUAAGUGAAUAAUUUGUUAUAGAUCCUUUAUGUUCCUAAAUACAUGAGUGAGCUGUAAUUCUUAACUUUUCUGAAAAACUAAACUAAAAGAGUAAGAAAUAAUUUAAACCAUUUUAGCAAAAAUGCACACACAAGAAAACAAAAGCAUGCUUCCAGAAUCUGGGCUUUUACGUCGGUUGGUAAUAUAUGUGUAUGUGUCUUUGUUUUUCUUACAGAGCCUUCAUAGGAGAGGCAUGUUGGAGCUGCCACGUUUCCUGAGCAUCUCUGUUGAACACUUUCUGUCUCUGAGGUAAGAAGAUUCCAGUCUCCAUCAAAAGAGUAAGGAAUUCUCAUUUAUGACAAAGAACUCUUCCCCGCAGC
rnacentral:lncRNA from 1 species